AUGGACACCUGGUUAAAAACUUCUUCUAUGGAGAUGUGCGGUGGCCUUGAAUAUAUAGACUCGGAGGAUAACAAACGAGAUGUGGAAUGUGCAGUAGAACUCACUCAGGUCUCCUCAGUGAUGUUAAAGCCAGGAGAAUCUUUAACCCUCAGCUGUAAAGUAUCCGGAUACUCUGUUACUGAUAACAGCUACGCCACAGCUUGGAUUCGACAACCUGCAGGGAAAACUCUGGAAUGGAUAAACCACAUUUGGGGUGGUGGAGAUAUGUAUCAUAAGAAUUCUAAAGAUGACUCCAGCAGCAUGAUGACUCUGAGAGGACAGAACCUGCAGACAGAAGACACAGGACACGUGUCCCCACAUCAAUACUUCUAA